CUCGGGUAAAGCCGUUGGGUGAUCAAGCUAUCUUGCCGCCAUUUUUCCGCCAGUUUCCAGCACGACCUCCUCUCAAAAGGUACUACAAAAGCCCCUCAGGCUUUUGUAGUACCUUUUGUAGGUAGCACAUUUCCGAUAACGCGAUAACGUUAGUGGUUCAGCCAGCUGAACCGCUGAGCGGCUGAGCCUGGCCGUAUCCAAUCCAAUGCAAUCCCGUAAAAGUCCACCAUGUUUGAAGGCCUUUCUUGAACUCGACUCCUCUUCUAGGAUGAAAGCAAGUGGUAGGGACUGUUUUACAGCGUCCAUCGCUCCUUUUUCUGAAGGGAGGGACGUCGUGAAAAGCGAUGAGCUAGUGAGUUCCAACAGGCCGAACGGCAGCGGCGCCGUGCAGCCCUCGACGGCUGCACCCGUGAACCGACCUCAGCUGAGCAGAGAAACACUACGACUAGAAAUCCAAAAGAAGAAGCUUCUCCUAGGCACCGUGAAAAAGUGCUGCCUGCCAGAUGGAGGGGCGCGGCUGGUUCAGCAACUAGAGGAGCUGGAGGAACGGCUCUCCUGCCUGGAUCUCGCCGGGGCAGGGCAGGAGGCCGGCAGCCCAGAAACCCUCCGCGAGCGCAGAGACGCAGAGCCGGCGGCGCAUCCCACGGCGGCAGAGGCCUCAAGGCCGACUAAUGCGCCCUCCGGAGAGGUUAGGCCACAGAAGGCCGGAACCAAGGGUGUGCUGCUCACUUCCCCUCUGCCCCUGGCAAAAGAAACGAAAAACACAAAAGCGGGCGGGCAGGCAACGCUGGGUACGAGGGGGCGGCCUUCCCCUCCCCCCAGCUCCCCGCACCUGCGUGCUUUCCUCGAGAGCCUGGAGAGCUGUCCCGGGGAGGAUGAGGAGUCUGGUCAGCCCAGAGGGGUCCUCACUCCUCUGAUGCCCCACCAGAAGCAGGCCCUGAGCUGGAUGCUCUGGAGGGAGACACAGGACCCCAGAGGGGGCAUCCUGGCGGACGCCAUGGGUCUGGGCAAGACGCUCACGGUGCUGGCUCUGAUCCAGAAGCAGCUGGAGGCAAGCAGCGGAGAUCCUCCAGGUGGUGGCACCCUGGUGGUGUGCCCGGUGUCCCUGGUGCACCAGUGGGCGGGGGAGGCCAAGCGGCACCUGGCACCCCCCUUGCGCGCGCACGUACACCACGGCAAGGGCCGGGCUUCCCACGCCAGCGAGCUGGCACGCCACCGCCUGGUGGUCACGAGCUACGAGACUGUGAGCAGCGAGUGGGACAAGUGGCGGCAGGCCUCGGAGACGGCAGACGGCCCGGUGAAGCCCGGGGCAUCUGUGCGGGGACCCGCUGCCCUGUUUGGAGUGUCGUGGCAGCGCGUCGUCCUGGACGAAGCGCACGUGGUGCGCAACCUGCGCACCCGGAGAGCCAAGGCCGUGCGAGCCCUCUCAUCCCACGCGCGCUGGGCCGUCACGGGGACACCCGUGCACAACGACUUGGGAGACCUGCGUUCCCUGCUCAAAUUCCUACGGUGCCGGCCUUUUGACGACGACGGCUUCUGGAGUCGCUGGAGCCGGGACCACCCCGGACCAGACUCCAUGGCUGUGGUUGUCAAGUGCCUCCUCCUGCGCAGGACCAAAGACCAGAAGGGCAAGGACAACCAGCCCCUGGUGCCCCUUCCAGAGCGAACAGUGGUGCUGCACAAGCUGCGAUUGGCGGGCACGGAGGCCAGGCUGUACGAGGACAUCGACCGCUGGUCGAGGUUGACGGAGCCGGAAAAGUAUGUGGACCCCGUGAGCAAGAAGGAGUUGUACCGCAACGUUGGAUCGAGGCGUUUCGUGGCACUGAUCCGUUUGCAGCAGGCCUGCUCGCACCCUGCGCUUCUCAAGAGGAGGGUGCUCGAGGACGCAGAGGUGGACUGCGACGACCUGCUGGCCGCGUGUUUCUCGGGCCUGAGCUUGAACAAAACGGCGGACCAGGGACUGGACGUUCUGGACAAGUACUCCCGCUGUUCCGAGAUGGAGCGCUCCUUCACCAGCUGCAAGCGUGGUGCUGUCCAAGUGGACGUCCCUGCUUGCCCUGGUCGAGGAGCACCUGGGACGCCGCGCCAUCCCGUGCGCCACCAUCCAGGGCAGCGUGCCGGGCCAGAGGCGAGCCGAAAUUGUGCAUUCCUUCAACCGAGACCCCCGGGGGCCUAAGGUGCUGCUCCUGUCCCUAGAGGCGGGAGGCGUCGGCCUGAACUUGAUCGGAGCCAAUCACAUGUUCGCCUUGGACGUCCACUGGAACCCAGCUAUGGAGGCACAGGCGUUCGACCGCAUUCAU
rnacentral:misc_RNA from 1 species